GCACAAGCAGUGGAGUAUGUGGUUUAAUUCGACGCAACGCGAAGAACCUUACCAAGUCUUGACAUCCCUUGACGAUGCUGGAAACAGUAUUUCUCUUCGGAGCAAGGAGACAGGUGGUGCAUGGUUGUCGUCAGCUCGUGUCGUGAGAUGUUGGGUUAAGUCCCGCAACGAGCGCAGCCCUUAUGGUCAGUUACUACGUAAGAGGACUCUGGCCAGACUGCCGUUGAUAAAA
rnacentral:rRNA from 1 species